UACGUAGGCAGCGAGCGUUGUUCGGAGUUACUGGGCGUAAAGGGUGUGUAGGCGGUUGUUUAAGUUUGGUGUGAAAUCUCCCGGCUCAACUGGGAGGGUGCACCGAAUACUGAAUGACUAGAGUGCGGGAGAGGAGAGUGGAAUUCCUGGUGUAGCGGUGAAAUGCGUAGAUAUCAGGAGGAACACCGGUGGUGUAGACGGCUCUCUGGACCGUAACUGACGCUGAGACACGAAAGCGUGGGUAGCAAACAGG
rnacentral:rRNA from 1 species